GUUCGGAUAGUAGGCAGCAACUCGCCUACAUGAAGUCGGACUCGCUAGUAAUCGCGGACCAGCACGCCGCGGUGAAUACGUUCCCGGGCCUUGUACACACCGCCCGUCACACCACGAGAGUUUGUAACACCCGAAGUCGGUGAGGUAACCUUUUAGGAGCCAGCCGCCUAAGGUGGGAUAGAUGAUUGGGGUGAAGUCGUAACAAGGUAGCCGUAUCGGAAGGUGCGGCUGGAUCACCUCCUUUCUAAGGAA
rnacentral:rRNA from 1 species